rnacentral:rRNA from 1 species
GACGAACGCUGGCGGCGUGCUUAACACAUGCAAGUCGAACGGUGAAAGCGGAGCUUGCUCCGCUGGAUCAGUGGCGAACGGGUGAGUAACACGUGGGCAACCUGCCCCUCACUUCGGGAUAACUCCGGGAAACCGGGGCUAAUACCGGAUAUGACCUCCUUGGGCAUCCUUGGAGGUGGAAAGUUUUUCGGUGAGGGAUGGGCCCGCGGCCUAUCAGCUUGUUGGUGAGGUAGUGGCUCACCAAGGCGACGACGGGUAGCCGGCCUGAGAGGGCGACCGGCCACACUGGGACUGAGACACGGCCCAGACUCCUACGGGAGGCAGCAGUGGGGAAUAUUGCGAAAUGGGCGAAAGCCUGACGCAGCAACGCCGCGUGCGGGAUGACGGCCUUCGGGUUGUAAACCGCUUUCAGCAGGGAAGAAGCCGCAAGGUGACGGUACCUGCAGAAGAAGCACCGGCUAACUACGUGCCAGCCGCCGCUGUAA